rnacentral:tRNA from 1 species
UGUCCAGGUGCGGGAAUCGAACCCACGACCUUCCGCUUACCGGGCAGAUGCCAUGUCCUCUAGGCUACCCUGGAC